GUCUUAUCUACAUUAAGUGCAGCUUCUCUUUGUUCUGCAUUUAUUAUCAAUGCAAAGUCGAACACUUUGAGAUUAGAUGCAGAUCAGCGUGCAGGGCUGGACGUGAGGAUGGGGCACUCUUUGCUCUGUUUGCUGGGGUUAUUCUUGCUCAGUACAGUCAUCCAUGGAAACACUGAAGAACUUGGAGUGAAGGCCACUCUGACAGCAGACAGAUUAACCAUACCAGCAGGGGGCAGUGUGACACUGACCUGUGAUGUAAAACAUUCUGCUGACUUUGAAUAUGACUGGUUCAGAGAACCCCGUUUUAACUCUAACCAGAAGACCA